UACGAAGGGUGCAAGCGUUACUCGGAAUUACUGGGCGUAAAGCGUGCGUAGAUGGUGAGUUAAGUCUGUCGUGAAAUCCCCGGGCUCAACCUGGGAACUGCAUUUGUGACUGCACAGCUGGAGUGCGGCAGAGGGGGAUGGAAUUCCGCGUGUAGCAGUGAAAUGCGUAGAUAUGCGGAGGAACACCGAUGGCGAAGGCAAUCCCCUGGGCCUGCACUGACGCUCAUGCACGAAAGCGUGGGGAGCAAACAGG
rnacentral:rRNA from 1 species